UUUGGAAAUAAAGCAGUAUUAAUUGUCAAAUGUAUUAAAUAAAAGUUGCUAUAUAAAUUCGCUCCUGUCCGCUCAGAGGGCGAAAAUUUAUUUUUAAUUACGCAGCCCCAAACAUGACACAAACAGCGGCCGCCACAUUCUGAUGCCAAUACCCAGAACGAUGCCGAUUCUAUUCACGAAUCCGGACUCCAAUCCCUUAGCCUGCGGCCUGAAGGCUGUAGUGAAGACGCGGCUGGAGAUGCGAUUGUGACCGGGCCUGGAACAGAAGACUUCAGAGGGAGAGCGAGAGAGGGAGGCGGACUGGCGCUUGGAAUGCACUGCUGACUUUGGUGCUGACUCCUCGGCCUAAACUGUGCAAAAUUAUGACAUGAACAUGAACGAAGUCCACAUAAUGAUGUUAUACAAUACGCCAUCUUAGCGUAAACAAGGCGAAAAGCCGCGCCAGUGUCCCAUGCUCAGCUCCACUGGGGACUGGACUGGCGCUUGUUGGCCCGGCAAUCGUAACCCCAUCCCAUCCCACUCCAAUGGAAUCCAAUCCAAUCGCAGUCGCAAUCCCACAGUUCGGAGGCACAGGACAUGUGUUGAGUAUUUGUUGUUUGCGAUGCCCUUAGCACUGAGCUCGGUUUACGCUCACUUCGUACACAUGUUUGAGCUCUAGAUCAAUCUUUCCCAACUUGGCUAAUAUGCACUCAAUUAGAUUAAGUAGUAUUUAAGUUGCAGUCCUGAAACCUAAAUAGGUGAACAGCAUCCGGAAUUAGUUGCAUACAUUAAGAUGACGGGGUAAGAUUUAAUAUAAGAAAUUAUUAAACAUAUAGAAAAUUGUUCCAAUUGAAAA